rnacentral:lncRNA from 10 species
AGUCAGUGGACCGGUACAGGUCUGUGGCCCUGGAGUUGGAUAUCCUUGCUUUAAACCCUGAGCCUCCUUUCAGCCAUCUGACGGCUCAACAGUCACUCUAUCUAGCUCCUUGAAUAUUGUAUCUCCUCGCUUGUUCCCUGUCCAAGAACACUCCUGUCAAUCAUGGGAGACAUUUAGACUUCAUAAAUUCUUUCUAUUCAAUAUUUUCGCUCGAGGACUCUGGGAAGGACAACUGUCAGGGUAACAGUCUGCAUUCCCCACCAGGAACCUGGGGCUAUGAAAUUCGUUCCCCGUGGGUGUUGCGGGAAGUGUAAUCGAGGAGCACCAUGUAGUCGCAACACUUGAGCCUAAAGGGUGAGGUGAUGGACAUUUUCCUUUUGCAUCUGAGGCUCUGCAGUCCAGACACCUUGCGGGAUUCCUGAUACUUCAGCUCAGGCACAAUUCUGCUUUCCCUGGAACUGUGUCAUUCAGGACUCUGCAAAUUCCCUAAAGUAGGAGGAAAAAUGACCAUGUCCAAGGGCAUCAACCAUUCCACCGAGAUACUUUCCACUUUCUAAG